UAUGAGAGUUUGAUCCUGGCUCAGAACGAACGCUGGCGGCAUGCCUAACACAUGCAAGUCGAACGAGAUCUUCGGAUCUAGUGGCGCACGGGUGCGUAACGCGUGGGAAUCUGCCCUUGGGUACGGAAUAACUCAGAGAAAUUUGUGCUAAUACCGUAUAAUGUCUUCGGACCAAAGAUUUAUCGCCCAAGGAUGAGCCCGCGUAGGAUUAGCUAGUUGGUGAGGUAAAAGCUCACCAAGGCGACGAUCCUUAGCUGGUCUGAGAGGAUGAUCAGCCACACUGGGACUGAGAUACGGCCCAGACUCCUACGGGAGGCAGCAGUGGGGAAUAUUGGACAAUGGGCGAAAGCCUGAUCCAGCAAUGCCGCGUGAGUGAUGAAGGCCUUAGGGUUGUAAAGCUCUUUUACCCGGGAUGAUAAUGACAGUACCGGGAGAAUAAGCUCCGGCUAACUCCGUGCCAGCAGCCGCGGUAAUACGGAGGGAGCUAGCGUUAUUCGGAAUUACUGGGCGUAAAGCGCACGUAGGCGGCUUUGUAAGUUAGAGGUGAAAGCCUGGAGCUCAACUCCAGAAUUGCCUUUAAGACUGCAUCGCUUGAAUCCAGGAGAGGUGAGUGGAAUUCCGAGUGUAGAGGUGAAAUUCGUAGAUAUUCGGAGGAACACCAGUGGCGAAGGC
rnacentral:rRNA from 1 species